AUACUCACUUGAUGCAAGAGAUAUCAUGAUCACGAAGGUGUUUUUCCAGAGCUAGGUUUAUCCGUUGCACUUCAGAUGUGCUGACCCCUGCCAUUUUCUCCGAAGGGGGAAACUUGAUUGCCUAAUUUGAGUAAGGGUCUGUGUUCACGCUCUCCCCUG
rnacentral:snRNA from 1 species